GAUGAAGAACGUAGCGAAAUGCGAUACUUGGUGUGAAUUGCAGAAUCCCGUGAACCAUCGAGUCUUUGAACGCAAGUUGCGCCCGAAGCCAUCAGGUUGAGGGCACGUCUGCCUGGGCGUUACAUAUCGUUGCCCAAUGCCUAUUGCAGUGCAAUAGGAAUUUCUAGGGCGAAUGAUGGCUUCCCGUGAGCGUUGUUGCCUCGCGGUUGGUUGAAAAUCGAGUCCUUGGUAGGGUGUGCCAUGGUAGAUGGUGGUCGAGUUAGAACGAUACCGAUCAUGUGCAUGCUCCCCAAAAUAUGGCCUCUAUGACCCACACGCGUCUUUUGACGCUCAUGACGAGACCUCAGGUCAGGCGGGGCUACCCGCUGAAUUUAAGCAUAUCAAUAAGCGGAGGA
rnacentral:misc_RNA from 1 species